UUAGUGAAGCAUCAAGCAAAGCUCCCAAUCAUUUAAUUAAACAAGCACUAAAAAUGAAGAAUCUCUGCUGACUGCUUUAUAACAAGGAGGUUUGUAUCUAAGGAUUUCUACUGGGACCUAAAUAGCUAGGUGGGAGGGAGACCAUCGAAGUGAAGUUUCUGUGAAGCUUGAUAUUUAGCUAUAAACAAGCAUGGCAUAUGUAUAGUAUGUCCAGUGAUUGGUUGUUAUAUAUAAGAGUUGCCAAGGAGAUGGAUGAUGUACUAAAUGUCAGUAAAUGAACUUUCUGUCUUAAUUCUAUGAUAGGUUUACUAAAUGAGGUCCAAGUUCGUGCUGGUGGGGGGCGUCUUACUAGAGGACAAGAGACUUGUUGAUACUUAUGAAUAAAAGGAAUGUGCUAACGCAUCAAUCACCAUCAAACAUUUACGUAGAUUUCACUUUAUCCCUCUGUUGCUUCUCUACUUUGUAAUAUCUGUUGCUCGCCAGAUUCUCUAUUUCAUACUUUUCAUUUCUUACGUCUGCACAUAGAGACAAAUUGAUGCCACUGCUCAUGGGGCCUUGCAGAUUUUUCAGAUUGAUGAGCGCCAAAGUCAUGUAGGGACUGGGUGAAAGAAGGGUUUGAAAUUUGAAAUACAUUGUUGACCAUUGAGCUUAUUCAGCAUUUGAGGAGUUCAAUUUUCCUGAUCAGGUUUCUGUUCUUGUGCCCAACUCUUGAUGUUGGCAUUUUAAAUUAUCACCUCAAUAUGCUAUCCUUUUGGUAUCUCUUUUGUUUCAGUCUUAUAUUACUGAACAGUAAUCUUUCCUUUACCAAGUAGACAGAUACCUUUCUUCCUUUGCUAUGAAGAAGUGAUGUUUGCUUUACGUGAGACUUUAAAGUACAUACAACAUACUCCGCACACACAUAAGGUUCUCAGUUAUAAUCCUUCUUUCAUUGGUGGCCUACUUUUGCUAUUCUAUUAAAUUACUAGCACCUUAAUCAUUUUUUUACCAAUGUCCUUAAAAGAUAAAUUAGUUUUGUAAUCAAUCUGAAUUACUACAUUUAUAUUGAUUUCUGAAUUACAUCACUAGUACAAAUUUACUGCAUGGAAAAUAGCAAGUGUAUAAUAAAAUCAAACAUCAAAGAACUCAAGCUCUUUGUGCAAUUCAAGAAGAUGGAUAGAAAUCAACUAAUGAAGGACAAUUUGGCAUGCUGGGGUUCAAUCAAGAAGAGAUUGAAAAACUAAAAGGCUUCCUAAACACAAUACCCUCAUGUGUGUGUUCAAUGGCACAGUCAGGUGAGCGUCUCUUUUCUAAUAAUCCUGUUGGGAAUGCAGUGCCUUCUAAUACUUGGGUGGUAGAUUCAGGAGCAACUGAUCACAUGACAAACAACAAAAGUUGCUUUGAUUCUUAUGAAGCCAUUCUUGGGGCCAAACAAAUAAGUGUUGCCGAUGGUAAAUUUAUUAAUGUCACAGGCAGAGGAAAAGCUACCUUAACUCCUUCAUUAUCUCUUGAAAACAUUUUAUAUGUGCCUAAACUUUCCAAAAACCUCAUCUCAAUUCAUGAAGUAACCAAGUCCUUAAAUUGUCUUGCUAUUUUUGACUCUUCUCAUUGUGUUGUCCAGAACAGGGACUCAGUGAAGAUGAUUGGAUAUGCUAAGGAGAAGAAUAGGCUCUAUUAUCUUGAGGAAGCUAGUGGUUCUAAGGAAAUGAAUGCCAAGUUCUCAUUAAAUUGUUCCAUAUCUUCUUCAGCCCGAGAAUCCCCAUUUAUUUCUCAGAUUUGGCUUGAACAUCGCAGGCUAGGCCAUCCUCCUUUUCCACUGUUAAAAACAUUGCUUCAUUACUUCAUCAUGUUAAUGUCUCAUCUCUUAGGUGUGAUACCUGUGAGUUGGCUAAGCAUCAUAGGGUUUCUUUUCCAAUAAAUGAAAAACCAUAUUCUAAACCUUGCCCUUGAUUCAUACUGAUGUUUGGGGCCCUUCUAAAGUUCCUAACUUUAAUGGAGUUCGUUGGUUUGUUUCUUUUGUCGAUGAUUGUAAAAGGGUCACUCGGUUGUACCUCAUGAAAAAUAAAUUUGCAAUGAGUUAUGUCUUUCCAUUGUUUCGCAAAAUGAUCUUAAACCAGUUUGGAGUCUCUAUCAAAAGAUUAAGAUCCGAUAAUGGCAGAGCAUAUUUUAACCACAAUCUUACUUCCUUCUUUGCCAAAAUGGGUAUCCUUCAUGAAUCAUCUUUUGUUGACACACCCCAACAAAAUGGGUUAGCUGAGAGAAAGAAUCAUCAUCUCUUAGAAGUGACCUAUUCUUUGCUUUUCCAAAAUGCAAAUUCCAAAAUUCUUAUAGGGAGAAACAACUCUUACAGCUCAC